GCCUUAUUAUUUUUAAACUAAAAGCAUCAGCCUUUUCCACUCUUUCUUCCUCAAGUUCACUUAGAACCCUUCAUUUCCAUGGCAUCUUCAUUCCCCCACACCUCUGUCCACUGACCGCCGCCUCCGCGCGCCGCUAUUGUCUCGUGGCCUAAACAGAAGUUCAAGAAGAAGAAAAACGCAUGCUCUAAACACUCUGCUUCCAUGGCAUCGAUCCAAUUUGGCUUCGCAACGUCCAAUCCGUGUCGAAAAAUUCAGAAAUCCGUAUGUGGCUUUUCGGAUCCAGAUACCAAUUUCACAUCUGAAUCAACACCUAUUGAUUUGGUUUCGGUGAACACAGAAAAUUUGGGGGAUUUCACUAUCUCCUUUACAGAACAAUUUUCUAGCUUCCUCUAUUUCUUCUUAAGACUGCACAAGGAGUUUGUUAUAGUAAGGAGUUUGCACAAGCAGCUUCCUCUAUUUCCUAUAGACCAGGCUGUUCUUCUAUUGGAAUAAGUGCAUUUUCUGAAAAUGGACCUUUCAGACCAAAUGGUGAAGUUCUGAUUAAAAAUGAUCAUAGUUGGAAUAGAGAGGCAAACAUGUUGUAUUUGGAGACACCAGUUGGAGUAGGAUUCUCUUAUGCUAAAGGUAGCUUCUCUUAUAUGAAAGUGAAUGAUGAGAUGACAGGUAAUUUAUCUUGCAUUAAUAUUAUCAUUGCAUCCCAAUGAUCAACACAUUGAGAUUGUAUGAGUUGACUCACCACACAUUGAUUGUGAAGGAAUUAUCUGGUCUAGUUAUCUUGAGGUUGUUUAAUUUCCCAAUUAGUCUUUUGUAUCUACCGGGGUUUAAUAAUGGUCUCCUUAUCUGGCCAUAGUUUACAGUUCAGAUCUAUAAGAGUGUCAAUAGGUUUAAAAUGAAUCUGGUGAAGGAACUAUCUGAUCUGGUUAUUGUCACUUGUUAGGUAGUUUAAUUUCCAUGUAUCUAUCUACCUAGAUCUAAAUAAGGCACACCAUAAUCUGGUCAUAGUUUACUGUUCUAAUCUAUAAGAGUGUCAAUAGGUUUAAAAUGAAUCUGGUGAAGGAACUAUCUGAUCUGGUUAUUGUCACUUGUUAGGUAGUUUAAUUUCCAUGUAUCUAUCUACCUAGAUCUAAAUAAGGCACACCAUAAUCUGGUCAUAGUUUACUGUUCUAAUCUAUAAGAGUGUCAAUAGGUUUAAAAUGAAUCUGGUGAAGGAACUAUCUGAUCUGGUUAUUGUCACUUGUUAGGUAGUUUAAUUUCCAUGUAUCUAUCUACCUAGAUCUAAAUAAGGCACACCAUAAUCUGGUCAUAGUUUACUGUUCUAAUCUAUAAGAGUGUCAAUAGGUUUAAAAUGAAUCUGGUGAAGGAACUAUCUGAUCUGGUUAUUGUCACUUGUUAGGUAGUUUAAUUUCCAUGUAUCUAUCUACCUAGAUCUAAAUAAGGCACACCAUAAUCUGGUCAUAGUUUACUGUUCUAAUCUAUAAGAGUGUCAAUAGGUUUAAAAUGAAUCUGGUGAAGGAACUAUCUGAUCUGGUUAUUGUCACUUGUUAGGUAGUUUAAUUUCCAUGUAUCUAUCUACCUAGAUCUAAAUAAGGCACACCAUAAUCUGGUCAUAGUUUACUGUUCUAAUCUAUAAGAGUGUCAAUAGGUUUAAAAUGAAUCUGGUGAAGGAACUAUCUGAUCUGGUUAUUGUCACUUGUUAGGUAGUUUAAUUUCCAUGUAUCUAUCUACCUAGAUCUAAAUAAGGCACACCAUAAUCUGGUCAUAGUUUACUGUUCUAAUCUAUAAGAGUGUCAAUAGGUUUAAAAUGAAUCUGGUGAAGGAACUAUCUGAUCUGGUUAUUGUCACUUGUUAGGUAGUUUAAUUUCCAUGUAUCUAUCUACCUAGAUCUAAAUAAGGCACACCAUAAUCUGGUCAUAGUUUACUGUUCUAAUCUAUAAGAGUGUCAAUAGGUUUAAAAUGAAUCUGGUGAAGGAACUAUCUGAUCUGGUUAUUGUCACUUGUUAGGUAGUUUAAUUUCCAUGUAUCUAUCUACCUAGAUCUAAAUAAGGCACACCAUAAUCUGGUCAUAGUUUACUGUUCUAAUCUAUAAGAGUGUCAAUAGGUUUAAAAUGAAUCUGGUGAAGGAACUAUCUGAUCUGGUUAUUGUCACUUGUUAGGUAGUUUAAUUUCCAUGUAUCUAUCUACCUAGAUCUAAAUAAGGCACACCAUAAUCUGGUCAUAGUUUACUGUUCUAAUCUAUAAGAGUGUCAAUAGGUUUAAAAUGAAUCUGGUGAAGGAACUAUCUGAUCUGGUUAUUGUCACUUGUUAGGUAGUUUAAUUUCCAUGUAUCUAUCUACCUAGAUCUAAAUAAGGCACACCAUAAUCUGGUCAUAGUUUACUGUUCUAAUCUAUAAGAGUGUCAAUAGGUUUAAAAUGAAUCUGGUGAAGGAACUAUCUGAUCUGGUUAUUGUCACUUGUUAGGUAGUUUAAUUUCCAUGUAUCUAUCUACCUAGAUCUAAAUAAGGCACACCAUAAUCUGGUCAUAGUUUACUGUUCUAAUCUAUAAGAGUGUCAAUAGGUUUAAAAUGAAUCUGGUGAAGGAACUAUCUGAUCUGGUUAUUGUCACUUGUUAGGUAGUUUAAUUUCCAUGUAUCUAUCUACCUAGAUCUAAAUAAGGCACACCAUAAUCUGGUCAUAGUUUACUGUUCUAAUCUAUAAGAGUGUCAAUAGGUUUAAAAUGAAUCUGGUGAAGGAACUAUCUGAUCUGGUUAUUGUCACUUGUUAGGUAGUUUAAUUUCCAUGUAUCUAUCUACCUAGAUCUAAAUAAGGCACACCAUAAUCUGGUCAUAGUUUACUGUUCUAAUCUAUAAGAGUGUCAAUAGGUUUAAAAUGAAUCUGGUGAAGGAACUAUCUGAUCUGGUUAUUGUCACUUGUUAGGUAGUUUAAUUUCCAUGUAUCUAUCUACCUAGAUCUAAAUAAGGCACACCAUAAUCUGGUCAUAGUUUACUGUUCUAAUCUAUAAGAGUGUCAAUAGGUUUAAAAUGAAUCUGGUGAAGGAACUAUCUGAUCUGGUUAUUGUCACUUGUUAGGUAGUUUAAUUUCCAUGUAUCUAUCUACCUAGAUCUAAAUAAGGCACACCAUAAUCUGGUCAUAGUUUACUGUUCUAAUCUAUAAGAGUGUCAAUAGGUUUAAAAUGAAUCUGGUGAAGGAACUAUCUGAUCUGGUUAUUGUCACUUGUUAGGUAGUUUAAUUUCCAUGUAUCUAUCUACCUAGAUCUAAAUAAGGCACACCAUAAUCUGGUCAUAGUUUACUGUUCUAAUCUAUAAGAGUGUCAAUAGGUUUAAAAUGAAUCUGGUGAAGGAACUAUCUGAUCUGGUUAUUGUCACUUGUUAGGUAGUUUAAUUUCCAUGUAUCUAUCUACCUAGAUCUAAAUAAGGCACACCAUAAUCUGGUCAUAGUUUACUGUUCUAAUCUAUAAGAGUGUCAAUAGGUUUAAAAUGAAUCUGGUGAAGGAACUAUCUGAUCUGGUUAUUGUCACUUGUUAGGUAGUUUAAUUUCCAUGUAUCUAUCUACCUAGAUCUAAAUAAGGCACACCAUAAUCUGGUCAUAGUUUACUGUUCUAAUCUAUAAGAGUGUCAAUAGGUUUAAAAUGAAUCUGGUGAAGGAACUAUCUGAUCUGGUUAUUGUCACUUGUUAGGUAGUUUAAUUUCCAUGUAUCUAUCUACCUAGAUCUAAAUAAGGCACACCAUAAUCUGGUCAUAGUUUACUGUUCUAAUCUAUAAGAGUGUCAAUAGGUUUAAAAUGAAUCUGGUGAAGGAACUAUCUGAUCUGGUUAUUGUCACUUGUUAGGUAGUUUAAUUUCCAUGUAUCUAUCUACCUAGAUCUAAAUAAGGCACACCAUAAUCUGGUCAUAGUUUACUGUUCUAAUCUAUAAGAGUGUCAAUAGGUUUAAAAUGAAUCUGGUGAAGGAACUAUCUGAUCUGGUUAUUGUCACUUGUUAGGUAGUUUAAUUUCCAUGUAUCUAUCUACCUAGAUCUAAAUAAGGCACACCAUAAUCUGGUCAUAGUUUACUGUUCUAAUCUAUAAGAGUGUCAAUAGGUUUAAAAUGAAUCUGGUGAAGGAACUAUCUGAUCUGGUUAUUGUCACUUGUUAGGUAGUUUAAUUUCCAUGUAUCUAUCUACCUAGAUCUAAAUAAGGCACACCAUAAUCUGGUCAUAGUUUACUGUUCUAAUCUAUAAGAGUGUCAAUAGGUUUAAAAUGAAUCUGGUGAAGGAACUAUCUGAUCUGGUUAUUGUCACUUGUUAGGUAGUUUAAUUUCCAUGUAUCUAUCUACCUAGAUCUAAAUAAGGCACACCAUAAUCUGGUCAUAGUUUACUGUUCUAAUCUAUAAGAGUGUCAAUAGGUUUAAAAUGAAUCUGGUGAAGGAACUAUCUGAUCUGGUUAUUGUCACUUGUUAGGUAGUUUAAUUUCCAUGUAUCUAUCUACCUAGAUCUAAAUAAGGCACACCAUAAUCUGGUCAUAGUUUACUGUUCUAAUCUAUAAGAGUGUCAAUAGGUUUAAAAUGAAUCUGGUGAAGGAACUAUCUGAUCUGGUUAUUGUCACUUGUUAGGUAGUUUAAUUUCCAUGUAUCUAUCUACCUAGAUCUAAA